GAAUCCAGGCCUCUCCGGCCGCAUGUGCCUCUUGCAUGCGACCCGCUCAAGGCCUCUGCUGUGAGUCUGGUGAGCGCCGAUGGGA
rnacentral:SRP_RNA from 1 species